AUGCUCGCUUCGGCAGCACAUAUAUUAAAACUGGAAUGGUGCAGAGAAGAUUAGCAUGAUCCCUACGCAAGGAUGACACUCAAAUUCCUGAAGCAUUCCAUAUUUUU
ensembl:snRNA U6 U6 spliceosomal RNA